rnacentral:rRNA from 1 species
GAUGAACGCUGGCGGCGUGCCUAAUACAUGCAAGUCGAGCGAACAGACGAGGAGCUUGCUCCUUUGACGUUAGCGGCGGACGGGUGAGUAACACGUGGGUAACCUACCUAUAAGACUGGGAUAACUUCGGGAAACCGGAGCUAAUACCGGAUAAUAUUUCGAACCGCAUGGUUCGAUAGUGAAAGAUGGCUUUGCUAUCACUUAUAGAUGGACCUGCGCCGUAUUAGCUAGUUGGUAAGGUAACGGCUUACCAAGGCAACGAUACGUAGCCGACCUGAGAGGGUGAUCGGCCACACUGGAACUGGAACACGGUCCAGGCUCCUACGGGAGGCAGCAGUAGGGAAUCUUCCGCAAUGGGCGAAAGCCUGACGGAGCAACGCCGCGUGAGUGAUGAAGGUCUUCGGAUCGUAAAACUCUGUUAUUAGGGAAGAACAAACGUGUAAGUAACUGUGCACGUCUUGACGGUACCUAAUCAGAAAGCCACGGCUAACUACGUG